CAAUGCUGAUGAGUCCAGAGGAAGACCCGGACCCAUGUGUCUGAUCAAGAGGUGCCAUUCGUGGUUCCAGAAGGCAGGAAGGGGCUAUUAGAGAUAGAAAACGAACAGUAAGCAGAAGACUCGAGAAACGCCUGAUAUGCAAUACCGCCGGGCUAUGCCCCUUCCCCAGGACCCAGCUCUCACCAGGAUCGAUACAUCCCUUCACCCUGGAUUCACCCAGUAUGCACAGCUACAUCCAUCCCUCUCUAGAGAUGUGCGGUAGUAUUGCGGAGGACACCAUGUCCACUUCCACCGCAGAGAUCUUUGGAUAAGCCUUUACAAAGCUCCAGAACAAGGAUUCCUGGGAUGCGAUGGUUUCUGGCAACAGGAGAACUCUGCAGGAGAAAAGAACGGAGAACAUUCAGCCCAGGAGUUUUGCCCCAUCGUCGCCACGCCUGCCUGUCGAGCCCUUCAGAAGCGGCUCGCUCGUCCCUGCCUGGUCCAGACGCAACCUCAGCCCAGAGGGGAUACGACGCUGCCGGCCAACUGCUUCGCCGUCCGCUCGGAUCUCGCUCCCUCCCUGUUGCAGGAUGCGCGGCCCCGCCAGCCCCUUACCCAGCUCCGCGCGGAGCCAUGGGAAGGGGUCUCGGCCCCUCGGAAACAAGAAGACUGGACGGGGAAGCCCUAGCCGAGGGCUCUCCAGGAAGGCCUCGCUAGACAGCCC
rnacentral:lncRNA from 1 species